CAGAACUUCUGAAAAGGAGUUGCUUAGCAACUGUGGCUUUGGAGAGGGCAACAAAGUAUGAAAUGUUGUAUUUUAAGAUCAUAAGCAUUUCCACAUUGAGACAUGCUUCUACUUUGAAAUAAAUUUCUCGGUAAUUCUGAGUAUAUAAAAGUGUCAAGAUUUUUUCUAAGAGUGAGUUAUAUUUUUUUAAAUGGGAUUUUUGAAAAUGCUUGAAAACUUGAUGAAUCAUCUUCUUUCUUGAUCAUGUAACUACUAAUAAAACAUGCAGCAAAAGAUAAUUGUGGUUUUUGUGGUAGACUCCCAAAUUUCUUGAUUUGAACUUUUAACCAAAAUAAAUUUCAUAAAUUUAUAAAACUAAUAAUAAUAUCAACAAGCUAGUAAAUAAUAUAUAUUUUUCUUAAUAAUAUUUAACUUUUAAAUUUAUAAAAAUAUUUAAUUUUAUAAGUAUAUAAGAUCAGAUAAUUUCAUCUUCUGUUUAUUAAAGUAAAAACUCUAAAAGGAUGUAGGAUGCUCCUAUAAAAUGACAGUUUUUAAGUUGUGUAACAUUUUCAUAUUGAGUUUCUCCA
rnacentral:lncRNA from 1 species